rnacentral:rRNA from 1 species
GGGACGCAGCAGUCGGGAAUAUUGCGCAAUGGAGGAAACUCUGACGCAGUGACGCCGCGUAUAGGAAGAAGGUUUUCGGAUUGUAAACUAUUGGCGUUAGGGAAGAAAAAAGACAGUACCUAAGGAGGAAGCUCCGGCUAACUACGUGCCAGCAGCCGUGGUAAUACGUAGGGAGCAAGCGUUAUCCGGAAUUAUUGGGGGUAAAGGGUGCGUAGACGGGAGUCUAAGUUAGUUGUGAAAUCCCUCGGCUCAACUGAGGAACUGCAACUAAAACUGGACAUCUUGAGUGCAGGAGAGGAAAGUGG